rnacentral:rRNA from 1 species
GAUGAACGCUGGCGGCGUGCCUAAUACAUGCAAGUCGAGCGAACAGACGAGGAGCUUGCUCCUCUGACGUUAGCGGCGGACGGGUGAGUAACACGUGGAUAACCUACCUAUAAGACUGGGAUAACUUCGGGAAACCGGAGCUAAUACCGGAUAAUAUAUUGAACCGCAUGGUUCAAUAGUGAAAGACGGUUUUGCUGUCACUUAUAGAUGGAUCCGCGCCGCAUUAGCUAGUUGGUAAGGUAACGGCUUACAAGGCAACGAUGCGUAGCCGACCUGAGAGGGUGAUCGGCCACACUGGAACUGAGACACGGUCCAGACUCCUACGGGAGGCAGCAGUAGGGAAUCUUCCGCAAUGGGCGAAAGCUUGACGGAGCAACGCCGCGUGAGUGAUGAAGGUCUUCGGAUCGUAAAACUCUGUUAUUAGGGAAGAACAAAUGUGUAAGUAACUAUGCACGUCUUGACGGUACCUAAUCAGAAAGCCACGGCUAACUACGUG